rnacentral:rRNA from 1 species
UGGAAUUCGCCCUUACGGCUCAGUAACACGUAGUCAACAUGCCCAAUGGACGUGGAUAACCUCGGGAAACUGAGGAUAAACCGCGAUAAGCCAUGAUUUCUGGAAUGAUUCAUGGUUUAAAUCUAUAUGGCCAUUGGAUUGGACUGCGUCCGAUCAGGCUGUUGGUGAGGUAAUGGCCCACCAAACCUGUAACCGGUACGGGCUCUGAGAGGAGGAGCCCGGAGAUGGGCACUGAGACAAGGGCCCAGGCCCUAUGGGGCGCAGCAGGCGCGAAACCUCUGCAAUAGGCGAAAGCUUGACAGGGUUAUUCUGAGUGAUCUCCGAUAAGGAGAUCUUUUGGCAUCUCUAAAAAUGAUGCAGAAUAAGGGGUGGGCAAGUCUGGUGUCAGCCGCCGCGGUAAUACCAGCACCCCGAGUGGUCGGGACGAUUAUUGGGCCUAAAGCAUCCGUAGCCGGUUCUGCAAGUCUUCCGUUAAAUCCAGCUGCUUAACAGAUGGGCUGCGGGGGAUACUACAGAGCUAGGAGGCGGGAGAGGCAAGCGGUACUCAGUGGGUAGGGGUAAAAUCCGUUGAUCCAUUGAAGACCACCAGUGGCGAAGGCGGCUUGCCAGAACGCACUCGACGGUGAGGGAUGAAAGCUGGGGGAGCAAACCGGAUUAGAUACCCGGGUAGUCCCAGCUGUAAACGAUGCAGACUCGGUGAUGGAUUAGCUUAUUGCUAAUCCAGUGCCGCAGGGAAACCGUUAAGUCUGCCGCCUGGGGAGUACGGUCGCAAGACUGAAACUUAAAGGAAUUGGCGGGGG